rnacentral:rRNA from 1 species
UUGGAGGGCAAGUCUGGUGCCAGCAGCCGCGGUAAUUCCAGCUCCAAUAGCGUAUAUUUAAGUUGUUGCAGUUAAAAAGCUCGUAGUUGAAUUUCGGGGUCAGCAGGUUGGUCGUGCCACUGGUAUGCACUGGCCUUGCUGAUUCCUCCCUCUUGAUGAGCCGUAAUGUCAUUAAUUUGGUGUUGCGGGGAAUCAGGACUGUUACUUUGAAAAAAUUAGAGUGUUUAAAGCAGGCAAGCGCUUGAAUACAUUAGCAUGGAAUAAUGAAAUAGGACGUUUGAUCCUAUUUUGUUGGUUUCUAGGAUUGACGUAAUGAUUAAUAGGGAUAGUUGGGGGCAUUAGUAUUCAAUUGUCAGAGGUGAAAUUCUUGGGUUUAUUGAAGACUAACUACUGCGAAAGCAUUUGCCAAGGAUGUUUUCAUUAAUCAAGAACGAAAGUUAGGGGAUCGAAGACGAUCAGAUACCGUCGUAGUCUUAACCAUAAACUAUGCCGACUAGGGAUCGGAUGAUGUUAAUUUUUUAAUGACUCAUUCGGCGCCUUACGGGAAAC